GACGAACGCUGGCGGCGUGCUUAACACAUGCAAGUCGAACGGAAAGGCCCUGCUUUUGUGGGGUGCUCAAGUGGCGAACGGGUGAGUAACACGUGAGUAACCUGCCCUUGACUUUGGGAUAACUUCAGGAAACUGGGGCUAAUACCGGAUAGGAGCUCCUGCUGCAUGGUGGGGGUUGGAAAGUUUCGGCGGUUGGGGAUGGACUCGCGGCUUAUCAGCUUGUUGGUGGGGUAGUGGCUUACCAAGGCUUUGACGGGUAGCCGGCCUGAGAGGGUGACCGGCCCCAUUGGGACUGAGAUACGGCCCAGAGUCCUACGGGAGGCAGCAGUGGGGAAUAUUGCACAAUGGGCGGAAGCCGUAUGCAGCAACGCCGCGUGCGGGAUGACGGCCUUCGGGUUGUAAACCGCUUGCGCCUGUGACGAAGCGUGAGUGACGGUAAUGGGUAAAGAAGCACCGGCUAACUACGUG
rnacentral:rRNA from 1 species